rnacentral:rRNA from 1 species
AGCGAACGCUGGCGGCAGGCCUAACACAUGCAAGUCGAACGGAUCCUUCGGGAUUAGUGGCGGACGGGUGGGUAACACGUGGGAACGUGCCCUUUGGUUCGGAACAACUCAGGGAAACUUGAGCUAAUACCGGAUGUGCCCUUCGGGGGAAAGAUUUAUCGCCAUUGGAGCGGCCCGCGUCUGAUUGGCUAGGUGGGGAGGUAACGGCCCGCCAAGGCGACGAUCAGUAGCUGGUCUGAGAGGAUGAUCAGCCACACUGGGACUGAGACACGGCCCAGACUCCUACGGGAGGCAGCAGUGGGGAAUCUAGCGCAAUGGGCGAAAGGCUGACGCAGCCAUGCCGCGUGAAUGAUGAAGGUCUUAGGAUUGUAAAAUUCUUUCAGCGGGGACGAUAAUGACGGUACCCGCAGAAGAAGCUCCGGCUAACUUCGUG